GAAAAUUAGGGCUCUAUCCUGCUUUGCUGUACACGUAAGCUGUGCUGUCGUGAGCGAGUUGCUUUGUUUCUGGACCUGUUUCCAUGUUUGUAAAAUGGAGAUGAUAGUUCCCACGUCCUUGUAGGAUAGGAGAACUACAUAACAAAAUGAAUGCAAAGGGCUUAGCUCAAGGCCGAGGAAGCACACAGUAGGAGCUUACUCACCGUUUAAUAAUAACAGCAACAUUCUGUCAUUUGUAUCGAGUUGUACAGGUUUUCAAAGCAGCUGCCAGGGCCAAAAGGAAGUUCCUGGGGAGAGGAACCGGGACCCCCACACCCGCCCCGGGAUCACAGGGGCAGAGGCAAGGGCCCGCAGGCUUUGAGACCAAACAACUUGGAGGGGGCUGGGCCCGCCAAGAACACACCACCCCGCCCCCUCCCCGGCCCAAGCGCUGGGUUCCCGGGGUCCCGCCAGCACUCAGGACUACCUCCCUUGUCUCCGGGCCCAGGGAAAGGCUUCAGGAUCCCCAAAGGCUACAGAUCAGGCUACGGCUUCCCCAGUGGCCUUGGAGCAGGAUUUGGGAACGGGAAUGGGCUGGGAGCCCAGCCAGGCACUGGGGGGGGUGUGAAACCCCAGAAGCCAGGGUUUGGAAACGGGCUGGCAAUGGGGACCUUCCCAGGUGCUGUCGCCCAGCCAGGUUUUGGAGGGGGUGUGAGACCCCAGAAGCCAGGCCCUGUGGCUCAGAAUGGUGGCCAGGCACCAGGUACGGGCUGGGGGC
rnacentral:lncRNA from 1 species